AAUAAUUACCAUCAUUAGUGUGUUAGUUCAACUGCUGGCUAACGACCGAUACAUCUGCAACGGUUGCCUCAUAUAUCUCCAUUACCGACAGGAAAUAUUUUAAGCAGUGCGGUCGUUGUAAUUCAAUAUAAAUUCAUCCAAUUUCCACAACGGCCGCAAACGUGUUGACAACGAAACGAACGGGGGAAAAAAAAUCACAGCCAAAGGAUCCGCUGCCAGUCGUCUUUUUAACAUUCACCGUCGACGACCGUAUAAUUCAAGUAAUGUGUGGCUAUGUGUAAUUAUACACACACAUCAGUUUUUAAAUUAGUAAUAGCUAAUCAUUUUUUAUUUUCUUUCAUUUUUUCAGGAAUCAUCAAUAUUUCUAUUACGGGAUCAUAUUCCAAUCAAUACUUUGGUGUCGACUCCACGACAAUUAAUGGUUCAUGUGUUCAAUUAAUACUGUACUGAUACAAUUAUUGAUUAUUUUGAUGACUAUUUCAAACACCAAUAUAUUCAGUACGCCUAUUGACAAAACACCACUACCGACCGAUAGUCGGUCCGAUCCAGUCGAAUAUCGCAAACGUCAUACAGAAUCCAUCAAAAUAUGUAUUAUUAGUUUUUAUUUAUUAUAAGUUUUACCACUUAUAGUACGAGCACUCGUUACAAUGUUUAUUUUUUCAAAGUUUCUCGUUUUUUUCGCCGUUUUUUUGAUUUUAAUUCCAACUGGUGUAUGGUUAGAAGGAGGGGG